CGAUCAGAUAUUCUUCAAACAUAUCAUCCACCGGAUCCUCUCCAAUCGAUCGAGAAUCCCCUUUUAUCAGCCCUUCCGACGUCUUCCCGCGCUCCCUUCCCCAUUUCUCUCGUCCCCAGAUCGUUGCAUUUCCCCUUUCCGAAACCAUGGACUUAGCACUCUCGUCCUCGUCCGAUGGCUCGUACGCAGCAGACCGCUCGCAAGUCCACCGGCGGCAAGCCCCCGCCGGAUGCUCACUACAAAGCGAUGGAUGAGGUUUCUUCUGAAGUGAAUAAGUUGCGUAAAAAGAUUGAGGGUAAGGAUUCUGUCGAGGAUCUUGACCUCCAAGGGACUGGGAGCCUGUUACCUGACGAUGAAGAGGAGCAUUUAGCUGGAAUAAUAGAUGAUUUUGACCUUGGUGGGUUUCCUUGUCAUGUGGAGGAAUUGGAAACGUUUGAUCUCUUUGGCAGUGGAGGGGGUGUAGUAUUGGUUUCUGAUCCUACAGAGAGCCUCACAAAUUGGGAUGUCAAAGGCAAGUAUUGUUGAUGGCUAUACUGGUAAUGGGAUUAAUCAGUACAGCCUUCAAAUGAUGUUGGAACUACUGCUGGGGAACAUCGGGAGCAUCCCUCAAGAACUUUAUUUGUGCGGAACAUUAAUCGUCAUGCGGAUUAUUCGGAAUUGCGGUCUCUGUUCGAGGGAAAUAGUUAAUAGGAUUGCUGCACUCAAUGAAAAAAAAUAUUCUCAUGGAUCUUUGGAUGUUGAAAAUAUCUAUGUGGUUAAUGGUGUUGCGAAGUUAGCAAAUUUUGGAAUAAUUGUUAUCAAGUAUUUAUUUCUAAAUAUUUUUAGGAUUAUAUUAAACUUUUAAAUUAUUGAUAUUCUUAAUAAUUUUUUAAGUAUAAAUUCAAAUGAUUGGAGAAUGUUAGGCAUAAUGUUUAAUCAAAUUAUUAUAUUAUCAAGAUUUACUUGUACACAAAAUUAUUAAGUUUUAUUUUUUUGUUUGCCAAUAAGAUGAAGUGAGGUUUAUAUUAUGUGUAAGUUAAUUUUAUUUAUGUUGUUCGAUAUUAAUAAGUAAAUUUUAUUUUUUAAAUGAACAUUGAAGAACGUUUAAACCAUCUCGUUCUUUGGAAUAUAUACGAGAAAUUGAUUUUCUUGAUCCGGUUUUACAAUAUAUCAUGUCCAUACCAUAAAAUUUUAUAAUAACUUUUAGUGGAUUUAAAAAUUGGCAUGAGCUAGUAGAAUAAAAUGUUUUCAAUCAAAUGAGAUCAUUGGAAAUAAAAAUUAUUUUAUUUGAUUAAAAACAUUUGGGUCUGUUUGGUUCUGCUAAUUUUUGAAUCCACUGAAGUUUGUGUUAAAAUUUUGUAGUACAGGAUGCAAUAUAUCAUAAAGCCGAAUUAAUAAAAUCAAUUUCUCGUCUUUGUCCAAAAGUGCAAGAUUGUUCAAAAGUUAUUCAUUUAUUUAAAAAAGUUAAAAUUGACUUAUUGAUUUUUUUUUGUCAAAGAAAUAAUAACUUGAAUAAAAAUAACUUACGCAUGAUAUGAAGCUUGUUUAGACUCAUUGAAGAAGCAAAUAACUUCAUGAUUUUGUGUAUAAGUGAAUUUUGGUUAUAUAAUAAUUUGAUUAAGCAUUAUUUCUAACAUUAUAUAAUCAUUUGAAUUUGCUAAAUAAAUAUUUUAUAUUCGUAUAGAUUAUUUUAAGAUUUGCUAAUUUUACAAUAUCAUCAAUUAUAUAGAUAUUUUUAAAAAAUAAAUUGUUCUGGAGUUUUUAGGAAGAAUAGCUUCCGCCAGAGUUGACAUGCGCCUUAGGAUGAAGGGAGGCAGCACACUAGGCUCGCGAGGAAAGACAGGUAUUUUUAUGGUAACAUAUUUGAUGCUGGCCGGGAAUGAACGGGUGGUAAAGCAACAGUAUUACAAAUAACAUAUUUCAUCGACGAUUUA